AGGAAACCUAGACUCCAUAAUCUUCUUCUUCCCCUUGCAGCGGCCGGCCGCCCCCCUUCUGUUCAUUCUUCUUGGCCGGCGAGCAUCAGACGGCCACGACACCCACGAGCUCACGUUGACACGAGCGGACACCCUCACCUUGAAGGUCUUACUCAUGAACCCACCUUCUUUCCCUCACUUCUGGGGAGCGUUGUGGCGGUGAAA
rnacentral:misc_RNA from 1 species